UUACUCACCUGGCAGGGGAAAUACCAUGAUCAUGAAGGUGGUUUUCCCAGGGCAAGGCUCAUCCACUGCAUUCUGGAUGUGCUGACCUCCGCAAUUUCCCCAAAUGUGGGAAACUCGACUGCAUAAUUUGUGGCAGUGGGGGACUGUGUUAGUGCUUUCCCCUU
rnacentral:snRNA from 1 species